rnacentral:rRNA from 1 species
UAAGGAAUAUUGGUCAAUGGGCGCAAGCCUGAACCAGCCAUGCCGCGUGAAGGAUGACGGCCCUAUGGGUUGUAAACUUCUUUUGUACGGGAAAAAACCUCUGGUCGUGAAUCAGAGCUGAUGGUACCGUAAGAAUAAGCAUCCGCUAACUCCGUGCCAGCAGCCGCGGUAAUACGGAGGAUGCAAGCGUUAUCCGGAUUCAUUGGUUUUAAGGGGUGCGCAGGCGGAAUAAUAAGUCAGCGGUGAAAGCCUACAGCUUAACUGUAGAACUGCCAUUGAUACUGUUAUUCUUGAGUGUUGUUGAGGUAGGCGGAAUGUGUCAUGUAGCGGUGAAAUGCUUAGAUACGACGCAGAACACCGAUCGCGAAGGCAGCAUACCAAGCAACAACUGACGCUCAUGCACGAGAGCGUGGAGAUCAAACA